rnacentral:snRNA from 1 species
UUCUCUGUACCAAACAUUAUUAAACCACAAAGUGUGUUCUUAUUAGCUUAAUAUCUGAUACGGGUCGUAUUUGGACCCAACAUAUUAAACUUAUUUUUGGAAUGAGGCGGAGUGCUUGAAGCUUGCUUCACCUCUUCCACGGGUUGGCCCGGUAUUGCACUAUCUCCGGGAUCGGCCCACUCACC